ensembl:snRNA LOC120095380 U7 small nuclear RNA
AAGUGUUACAGCUCUUUCGGAAUUUUGUCUAGCAGGUUUUCUGACUUCGGUUGGAAAACCCUU